rnacentral:rRNA from 1 species
GACGAACGCUGGCGGCGUGCCUAAUACAUGCAAGUAGAACGCACAGUUUAUACCGUAGCUUGCUACACCAUAAACUGUGAGUUGCGAACGGGUGAGUAACGCGUAGGUAACCUGCCUGGUAGCGGGGGAUAACUAUUGGAAACGAUAGCUAAUACCGCAUAAUAUUGAUUAUUGCAUGAUAAUUGAUUGAAAGAUGCUAUUGCAUCACUACCAGAUGGACCUGCGUUGUAUUAGCUAGUAGGUGAGGUAACGGCUCACCUAGGCGACGAUACAUAGCCGACCUGAGAGGGUGAUCGGCCACACUGGGACUGAGACACGGCCCAGACUCCUACGGGAGGCAGCAGUAGGGAAUCUUCGGCAAUGGACGAAAGUCUGACCGAGCAACGCCGCGUGAGUGAAGAAGGUUUUCGGAUCGUAAAGCUCUGUUGUAAGAGAAGAACGGGUGUGAGAGUGGAAAGUUCACACUGUGGCGGUAUCUUACCAGAAAGGGACGGCUAACUACGUG